CUCAUGUAAUUGAAUUACAAUUGCAAGGCAGGGUACUGCUAUAAUUAAUAAGACAGAGGCUUUCUCCCAAAUGACACCCUAUUCCCUAUAUAGUACACAUCCUGACCAGGGACCAUAGGGCUCUAUUCAAAAGUAGUGCACUUUUAUUGAGAAUAGGGUGCCAUUGGACAACAAGAGACCUGAGCCAAGGUUCAACAUACAGCUUACAUAAUCAUGUCUAUUUUACCCAGGUCAAGAUGUAGAUGAGCAUUUCUGAAGGGUCAUGGUUGCGGGGAGGGUGGAUUUCGGGGCCAGUGAGGUGGGGGUGGAGGAGAUGGUGAACAGAAGGACAACACACCUGAGCAGGAUAUGACAACACACCUGGAGGGUCUACCUGUGUAUGGUACCAAGCUGGAGAUGACCCUGUUGAAAGACUACAACUUCAACGAUGCUCAUCUAGCAGACAUCAUCCACCUGAACAGCAGUUCUGAUUUGGAGGAGGAGAUGGAUGGAGGUGCAAUGGGAGAGAAUGAGUUUGUAGGUAUGAUCACUGCGGAGGCUCUGCAGGCCCUACAGGAGGCAGAGGGCAGCAGUAAUGAUGGCAACUCCAGCUCCAUUGGUGAUGGUGUCUGGAUGGUUGAAAUCCCAGUGGAAGAGAUUCACCACAUUAAGAACCAGUGGAAGUUCUAUCUGAAGGAUGGGGUGAUGUGUUACGGAGGGGAGGACUGUUUUCUCGAAAGCUGUUGAGGAGGCAGAGUGGUUACUGGAUUCAUAUUAUGUUCCACUGCAAUGCCAAUACAGAUCCUAAGUAGCAUACCAGUGUGAAUAUCAGAACAGAACCUUGGUCUGUAUUUCACUCAUGUGGCUACAGCCUUGACUUCGUCUCAAAUGUGUCCAACGAGGUGUAUAAUACAAGUGUCUAAAACAAUAUUAUCAUUUUGAAGUUAUUGGGAAAACUACACUGCUAAAAAAAAUAAAGGGAACACUUAAACAACACAAUGUAACUCCAAGUCAAUCACACUUCUGUGAAAUCAAACUGUCCACUUAGGAAGCAACACAGAUUGACAAUAAAUUUCACCUGCUGUUGUGCAAAUGGAAUAGAAAACGGGUGGAAAUGAUAGGCAAUUAGCAAGACACCCCCAAUAAAGGAGUGGUUCUGCAGAUGGUGACCACAGACCACUUCUCAGUUCCUAUGCUUCCUGGCUGAUGUUUUGGUUACUUUUGAAUGCUGGCUGUGCUUUCACUCUAGUGGUAGCAUGAGACGGAGACUACAACCCACACAAGUGGCUCAGGUAGUGCAGCUCAUCCAGGAUGGCACAUCAAUGCGAGCUGUGGCAAGAAGGUUUGCUGUGUCUGUCAGCGUAGUGUCCAGAGCAUGGAGGCGCUACCAGGAGACAGGCCAGUACAUCAGGAGACAGGCCAGUAUAUCAGGAGAUGUGGAGGAGGCCGUAGGAGGGCAACAACCCAGCAGCAGGAGCACUACCUCCUCCGCCUUUGUCCAAGGAGGAGCAGGAGGAGCACUGCCAGAGCCCUGCAGCAGGCCAGAAAUGUGCAUGUGUCUGCUCAAACGGUCAGAAACAGACUCCAUGAGGCUGGUAUGCGGGCUCGCCAGAGGUAGCCUGCCUGCCAUUAGGUACCGAGAUGAGAUCCUCAGACCCCUUGUGAGACCAUAUGCUGGUUGGCCCUGGGUUCCUCCUAAUACAAGACAAUGCUAGACCUCAUGUGGCUGGAGUGUGUCAGGCAGUUCCUGCAAGAGGAAGGCAUUGAUGCUAUGGACUGGCCCGCCCGUUCCCCAGACCUGAAUCCAAUUGAGCACAUCUGGGACAUCAUGUCUCGCUCCAUCCACCAACGCCACGUUGCACCACAGACUGUCCAGGAGUUGGCGGAUGCUUUAGUCCAGGUCUGGGAGGAGAUCCCUCAGCAGACCAUCCACCACCUCAUCAGGAGCAUGCCCAGGCGUUGUAGGGAUGUCAUACAGGCACGUGGAGGCCACACACACUACUGAGCCUCAUUUUGACUUGUUUUAAGGACAUUACAUCAAAGUUGGAUCAGCCUGUAGUGUGGUUUCCCACUUUAAUUUUGAGUGUGACUCCAAAUCCAGACCUCCAUGGGUUGAUAAAUUUGAUUUCCAUUGAUAAUUUUUGUGUGAUUUUGUUCAGCACAUUCAACUAGGUAAAGAAAAAAGUACUUAAGAAUAUUUCAUUUAUUCAGAUCUAGGAUGUGUUAUUUUAGUGUUCCCUUUAUUUUUUUGAGCAGUGUAGUUCAGCGAGCUAGAAAAAAAACAUUUGGAAU
ensembl:lncRNA